CGGGUUAAUAUUCCCGUACCGACAGUACUGCGAUGGGGGGACGGAGAAGGCUAGGCAGGCAUGGCGUUGGUAGUCCAUGUGAAAGUAUGUAGGUUGGGUGUUUAGGAAAAUCCGGACGCCUAAGACUGAGAUACGAGACGAGCCACUAAGGUGGUGAAGCUGUUGAUGCCACGCUUCCAGGAAAAGCCUCUAAGCUUCAGGUACUUGUCGACCGUAC
rnacentral:ncRNA from 1 species